GACGAACGCUGGCGGCGCGCUUAACACAUGCAAGUCGAACGGAAAGGCCUGCUUUCCCUUGUGGAUUGCGGGUACUCGAGUGGCGAACGGGUGAGUAACACGUGAGUGAUCUGCCCCCAACUUGGGUAUAAGCCUGGGAAACUGGGUCUAAUUCCCGAUAGGACUGCAGGGUGGUCCCUGUGGUGGAAAACGAUUUUCUAGUGGUUGGGGAUGAGCUCGCGGCCUAUCAGCUUGUUGGUGGGGUAAUGGCCUACCAAGGCGGCGACGGGUAGCCGGCCUGAGAGGGUGGACGGCCACAUUGGGACUGAGAUACGGCCCAGACUCCUACGGGAGGCAGCAGUGGGGAAUAUUGCACAAUGGGCGGAAGCCUGAUGCAGCGACGCCGCGUGGGGGAUGACGGCCUUCGGGUUGUAAACUCCUUUCGACCGCGAGGAAGCCACCUGGUUGGAAGGGUGGUGACGGUAGUGGUAGAAGAAGCACCGGCUAACUACGUG
rnacentral:rRNA from 1 species